GAGAAACAGAUACAGAUAAAACAGGAUAAACUGAUGAACAGGAGAAACAGAUACAGGAAAAACAGAUAAACAGGAGAAAAAUAUACAGAUAAAACAGGAAAAACAGAUAAACAAGAGAAACAGAUAUACAUAAACGGGAUAAACUGAUGAACAGGAGAAACAGAUACAGAUAAAUGAUAAAAAGAUAAACAGUUAAACAGAUAAACAGGAGAAACAGAUACAGAUAAAACAGGAAAAACAAAUACACAGGAGAAACACACAGAUAAAACAGAAAAACAGAUAAACAGGAGAAACAGAUACCGAUAAACGUGAUAAACAGAUAAACAGAAUACACAGAUGAAAGGGAAAUAAAAAAAACACGGCCCCGGUAAUGAAAAGAUGACUCCCCGGGCCCUCGCUGCCGUCCCUUCCUCCCUUCACUCAGCUUCUUUACCCAACACACAGACGAAGGAAAGGAGAGGGACGGACACACUCACUCCGAUUAGACGUGGGCGCGGCAAAGCUCUUCGGACCCUUUACCUCUCGUGCUCCUGUUUGCUCUCUCCGUCCUGGCUUCUGGCUCCUCAGUGAACAACAAACAUGCUCAUUAACCACCACCCUCACUCACUCACGCUCUUGUAGGCGGACCGUAAUAGGGGCUCUCUCGCUCUCUUUCUCUCUCUCCCUUUCCCCUUCCCUCUCCCUCUCUACUUCUCUCUAAUCUAUAACACGUUUAACACGAGUAUAGUUCACGUUCUUUUUUCUAUCGGUAUUUGGAAGCCACAGAUAUAGGAUCAACCAUAAUUAUCAUCAUUAUCAUCCUACUACCUCCUACCUAUACCAAGAUACACACUACUACCAGCACCCCCACCACUACCACUACUACUAUUACUACUACUACUACUACUACUCUCUCUCUCCUCUUCUUUAAAAAUCUGUAUCACGACUAACAAGAUUAUAACCCACGUUCUUUUCAGUCGAUAUUUAGGCGUCACAAAAUAACGACCAGCUCAAAUUAUCAUCAUUAGAAACGUGUUACCGCAAAAGAUCACGACGUUUCAUUAUGUUUAAUCCUCAGUAAAGUCUCUAGAGGAAUCCAAGAAUCCAAUAACCAUGGCACGCCUUGCUCCUCGGAAUCCCCUCACGUUGAUUAAACUCGAAAUGUGAUGAGCCGGCCUCUUGGUUUAUCAAAUUCCACGCUUUGAUUAAACGGACCGUGAGUCGCGCGCCACCGGAAGCCUCUCGAGCCAGUCACUUAAACGCAAUUUCACGCCCAAUUCAAGCCGCCAAUCGACAUAAAGAGGAAGGUGACUAAGAUACCUCGGGAAAUGAAUUUAAUCCCCUUCCUCUAACUCCCUCUCCGUCAUUAUAGGAUCAGCGCCUUGUGGGAUUUAUUUAAUGCAUUUGUAUAUACUUUUUUUCUACUCCUGGCUUGUCCCCGUUAACGUAAAAAUUAUACACCGUGUUUGUCUAGCUGAUCAGUCUACUCCAUACUUCCCAUAUUAAUAUCAACUCUUACUCCUCCUCCUGCAUGCCUUUCAGUAUUUUAAUUACUCCUCUUUCUUCUCCAUCUCCUCCUCUUUCUCCUCUUUUUCUUCCUUUUCCUCAUCUUUCUCUUCCUCCUCCUCCAUCCCUUCUUCCUCUUUCUCCUUUUCCUGUAUGCCUUUCAGUAUUGUCUUAAAACUUCAUCAGUCGUAACCUGCCACCACACCAAUCUUUUCUAGCUAGUUAUUAACCUCAUUUCCUUGUUUUUCACUCUUCAGGAUGCACACGAGCGUUCGAAAUACCCCAUGCACACCAUUACAAAGUGUAUACCAGUCAGUGUAAGAGGCCUCCUUGAUGUAGCGAACGCCUAAAAGAAAGUCUAUUGAAAUUCUGAUCAACUUCAUAUUCCGUCACACAGCAUGCCCAGCCGUGCCAAACAAAACCCGAUAACAGAUUUCUUGUAGAUUCAUUUUGGUGGUUCGUUGUAUAUUUGCGCGUCUGCACAGUGGAACGGGUCUAUUAAUAUUUGGAUUGAUUUUGUCUUCCGCCACACAACGCAUCUUACAGCACCAAAACCCGAUAACCGACCUCUUGUUGACUCAUUCUGUGGGGUCGGUGGUGUGUAAUGGACGGGUCUGUUUAGCAGGUGCGUCGCGAAACGAGUCUUGCACUUUAUAUUUUGACUUUCUAUUUCGUCAGACAACACAUCCAGUAGCGCCAAAACCCGAUAACCGACCUCUCGUUGACUCAUUCUGUGGGGUCGGUGGUAUACUGAAGCACCUAUACAGCAGGAGGAGAGUCGGCGGAACGAGUCUGAUUGGAACCGCCGUGUCUGCUGAGGGCGCACUUCCUCCUAACCCUAUUUUCGUGGAUCUCGAUCGACGCCAGCAAUUUCGCUCUUAUUGCGUCCUCGUGAGCUCGAGAAUCCAGCCGAGCGCAAAUUAAUGGACUGGCUGGAAGGGUAAGACAAAAUUCCUCGCGUGUUUGCGUUAAUUUACGUCGUCCCGAGUUUCGCUUUUCUUUCUUCCCCGCCGGAAAGAUGCGCCGCCUCGCCCCGCUGACUCGGCACUCACUCGGCGGGCGGCACUUCAAAGCUAUUUUUACGAGCGGAAAAAGACUUUCGUUAAACUCAGACUGACGUGAAUGGGCUGACACACGCACACGCACACACACACACACACACACACACACACACACACACACCAACUUUAUCUUUUUAACGAACGAGGUAUAAAGCUUUUGGUUACUCGGUCUUGUGCCAAAACAUUUACUUAACUUUGACAUGUAUAUAUUUUUCUCUCUUCCGGGGUUAAGUUUUCAGGAGCUCCGUCAACAUAUCUGUUUUAACGCACCGCCACCCAGGUAACUACGGUCUUCCAAUGUCAAUCAAAUUUCCUACCGUCGAUUCCUGCCAUUGAGAGGAAAAUUUAUAGUCUUCAGGCAGUUUUUUUUAUUCACGCAGGCAACUCCAAUGACGUGUGUGUGUGUGUGUGUGUGUGUGUGUGUGUGUGUGUGUAUGUGUAUGAUCAUUAUGGAGCUUCUCGUCCUAUUCCAAUUACGAGGCCGUCUCUGCUUGUGAAGUUAUGGAACGGAUUAGCCCUAAGCCGGGUAAAGGGAGGACAUGCCGUAUUUUGUGUAAGGGGGCUCAUACACGGUCCGAUGAAGAUGAAGACGAAGAAGACGAAAACGGAAACGAAAACGAAGACGAAAAAGAAGAAAAUCAAAAAGUAGAACGAGAAGAAAAAGAACAAGAACAGGAACGAGAACAACAACAAGACAAGAACAAGAAGACGAAGAAGAAGAAAAAAAAGAAAAAAGAAUAAGACGAACACGAA